UUGCUUAACGAUGAAGUCUUCUAUCAAACGCCGCAUGAUGAGGAUUUUUACUUGGACCGCAUCAGUAUGAACAAUACGGCCAAACAUGCGACAAGUCGCACAUUUUCUCUAAUUUCACAAUUUUUUUCGAGAAGAUCCGAAGUCCAUC
rnacentral:lncRNA from 1 species